rnacentral:lncRNA from 1 species
AGGAAGAUACGUCCCUCGAGGGCUUACCUCCACCCCUCAGCACUAGGAGAUGGGCCUCCCCAUUCUGUGGAUAAGGAAACCACGGCUCAGGUGAAGCUGUAAAAAGCAAAAAAAGGAGAAGAAGGAAAAGAAAAAAUGGCAUCUCAGAUGGGCCACUGGAACAUUUGGAAACGUGCAGACGGGCACUGGUGAAAUGAGCAGCACGAGAAAAGGAGUAAAGCAAAUGCUGGUGGGAGCCCAUGAGAAACAGGCUGGUCGUGAGCCCCAGAACCCCCAUGAGGAGUUAAACCAGGCCUGGCUCUGCAGCGCACACGGGAGGAGAAGAGAAAAGGAAGUGGAAG